rnacentral:rRNA from 1 species
UACGUAGGUGGCAAGCGUUAUCCGGACUUAUUGGGCGUAAAGGGAGCGCAGGCGGUCUUUUAAGUCUGAUGUGAAAGCCUUCGGCUUAACCGGAGUAGUGCAUUGGAAACUGGGAGACUUGAGUGCAGAAGAGGAGAGUGGAACUCCAUGUGUAGCGGUGAAAUGCGUAGGUAUAUGGAAGAACACCAGUGGCGAAAGCGGCUCUCUGGUCUGUAACUGGCGCUGAGGUUCGAAAGCGUGGGUAGCAAACAGG